rnacentral:rRNA from 1 species
GACGAACGCUGGCGGCGUGCUUAACACAUGCAAGUCGAACGGAAAGGCCCUGCUUUUGUGGGGUGCUCGAGUGGCGAACGGGUGAGUAACACGUGAGUAACCUGCCCUUGACUUUGGGAUAACUUCAGGAAACUGGGGCUAAUAUCGGAUAGGAUCUCCUGCUGCAUGGUGGGGGUUGGAAAGUUUCGGCGGUUGGGGAUGGACUCGCGGCUUAUCAGCUUGUUGGUUGGGUAGUGGCUUACCAAGGCUUUGACGGGUAGCCGGCCUGGGAGGGUGACCGGCCACAUUGGGACUGAGAUACGGCCCAGACUCCUACGGGAGGCAGCAGUGGGGAAUAUUGCACAAUGGGCGGAAGCCUGAUGCAGCAACGCCGCGUGCGGGAUGACGGCCUUCGGGUUAUAAACCGCUUUCGCCUGUGACGAAGCGUGAGUGACGGUAAUGGGUAAAGAAGCACCGGCUAACUACGUG